CAAAUCUAGGCGAAGCUGAAGCUUCUGGGCAUCAAAAGUACAGUGACAGCUCCAGCUCCAGCUCCAACUCAAGUUGCGCCCCCUCUCUCCCCUUCCGUCCACCAUCUCUCCUCUCCUACCGGGCCCCCUCAGCAUUCGCUGCUUGUCCGGUUCGGGGCGAUCCGGGGGACAACUUUAGAGACUCUGGGGGGGCCUACCAGCUGAUUAACGAUGAGACAGUAAGGUGAGUCCGUUGUUGAUAAUUGGUAUCCAAGCCGAUGGAACGACUCAAGCAAUUGUUAUGUGCAUUUUGUGCUGUGCAAAAGCUGCGGCUGAACCAUUGCGUUGAGAUGCACUCAUCAUGGGUCAACCCUGCCGAAAGAUGAGAUUCUCCUACGGCAAGUAUGAGUGGUUUAGGCAGAGGUUUGGAUGACUGAAUUCGCUGAGAAUCAAAUCUCUUGUUGAAAAAUCUUCCAAGCUAAAGCAAGCGAGUUGCAAAGAUUAUGAACCAGAAGCAGAAAAUCUACAUUUUGAUGUGCCUGAUCUCUCAUUUUCUAAAUUGGAUUGACUGGGGAAAAAUGAGGAAGCAGCUAUCCUUGUACUCGGAAGAAAGAUAUCAGGUGCUUACCAAUCCAAAGUUGCCAAAGACGCCGCAGCAAGGACUGAAACAGAAGAAAUGGAUCAUUCAGUGCACCUAAUGGAAACUAAUAAACAAGGCAUAUCUGCCACCAGAAUAGUUGGAACAGAGCCUUCACUUCACAGUUCUAAUGCAGAUUUCAGAUUUCAGAGGAUGGGGCAGGGGGGUUUCCGUGGAUGCCUUUACUUCAAGGUGUUCUUUCUACACCUUGACAAAAGGAAGGUCUUCUCCUGGUGUACUGCAACUCAGAUUGCUGCUAACUAUGGAUGGCUGCUAGCUAUGGCAUUCAAACUUGUAAUUGAGGGAAAGACUUGUAUUAUAGCUGAUCAGAGUGGCUCGGGAAUAGUGCUGGCUUAUCUUGCACCAAUAGGCCAACAUCUCAGGUAGGAAGAGCUGUAAGGACCUAGCAAAUCGUUCUCACAAAGCCCUUGUUGUUGUUCUGGUUUUGAGUAACUGCUGAUCCAUAUCAAAGGUUGGGGCUCCAUUCUGGUCUAUGGUUGCCACAGGUGGUUUCAGGCAGAAAACUCAGGUGGAAAGUAUAGAAGAGGGUGUUGAUGUCCUAAUAGCAACUCUGGUCGCUUUUUUUUUUCUUGUUUAAGAAGGCUUUUUGGAGUUGAAGGAUCUUAGAUGGUAUGCCUAUGCAUUGUAUAAUGUUGCAUGAAUAAGUUUGGGUGCACGAGGUAUUCGAGAUCAUCAUCUUCUCAUCAGUUUUUGAGUAAAGAAUGUGAUUGUCCUACUGUUUUCUGAUUUAGUACUUCCACCGUGUAUUAUCACCAUUCUUUGAAUCUUUGAGGAAAGGAAAAGUUUCGCGAAAUUUCUAUUCUUACAUACACAGCUGAAUCUUGAUUUUCUGGCUUGAGUUAUGGAGAACUUUGCUUUGAUUUACAAAAAUGUUGGAUAUAUCGCUAUUUGUUAGCCCCAAUAGAAAUCUUUGAGAAAUGACUGGUGACAAAUUGAGAAGGCUCCACUUGACGCACUCGUCAUAUUGUUUGUUAUAGGAUAUGAAGUUAAAAAAUCUCUUGUUAAUGGAUUUACCUGCCAAGAAUUUGAAUGACAUCAAAGCCUGGAUAAUUUUGGCAUUCAGCAGAUUUCAAUCCAUGCUAUGCUACAAACAAAGAGCUCUAUGUAGCUAUAAUGUACUCAAUAACAGAAGAAUGAUAUUUUUGUACAUGAUAUCUUUGUACAUAUUGCAGAUUGUUUUGCAAUUACUGCUAUAAUCUAUGGCUUCAUGCUCAGCGUAUUUUUGGAUGAGGUGGAUAUUCUCUGCAGUGAUGAGUUUGAAGCAGCAUUUCAAAGCAUAAUCAAUUAUUCACCUGUCUCCACCCAGUAUCUGUUUGGGACGGCCUUGCUGGUAGAUAUAUAUAACAAAAUAGUUGAAAUUCCUCCCCACUGUGAAGUAAUCAUGAGACCUGGCAUUCAUUGGACAAGCCCUCACUUGUAGAGUUUCUCAUAGAUUGUAGUGGAGAGGAAGACAGUGAAAAGACUCCAGAUACUGCAUUCCUGAAUAAGAAGUCUACUUUUAUUCAGUUUGCGGAAGAAACCCCAGUAACCAAAGCGAUUGUUUUCUGUAACGAGGUAUGUUGAUCUUUCAGUAAAGGCUGCUUGAAAUUGACUCAUUACAUUUCCUUCUCUCUCUCGACCAUCUCACUGAGUCCUGGCCCGGAGUUUGAGAGAAGGUUCUGAAGCCACCUGAAUGGAGGAUUCAUCAUUACUUUGUCCUCUUCUCCAUAUAUAGAUUGAGACAUGUUGAAAAGUUGAAAAUGCAUUGAAGUGCAUUGACAGAAAAGCGCUGAUACACAAGUUCUACCUUUUCAUGCCACUGUUUCACAAGAGUUGCAGCAGGCAAAUAUGAAAGAGUUUGCUCCUUCUCCAUCUAAAGAUGUUUCCUUGUUUUUGGUUUGCAGCAACAGGUAUGUAUAGUUGCUUUGUUUGAUAUCAAUCAAACUAUGCUUCUAGAAAUAUAUCUGCUUUGCAGCCGAGCUUGAUCCCUAAAAGUAAGCCGUAAGUUAAACCAUGCAUAACGUGCCAAGACCCAGGCCUUCAGUUCUCAAUUCAAGCUUGCACAUUUAAUAAUGGAGUCAGUCUCAACAAGAAUUAGAUGAAAAUAGUAAUGCCUGGGAUAGGCCUUGUUCUGUCUUGAUGGUUUUGUGAAUAAUUGGGAUAGGUAAGAGCUGAGUGUUAGCUAACACUCAAGGCACUCACCUAGGCGCUCAAGCAAAGCAAGGCGAAGCCUCUGCUUCUCACCUCAUCUCAGGCAAGGUUUCUUUGUUUAAGGUAAGCACCUGAGAUGAGGUGCUCCUUUUCUGAGGUAUUGCCUCAGAAAAGAUUUGUCUAUGUUAACAUCUUUGCACCAGUGCAAUAUGUGCUACAAUGCAGACCUCGAGUAACUUGUGAUUCUAAGUAUGAAAGACCUAAUAAUUUGUUUGUUGAUGGACUAAUCUCCACUUUUUACUUGGCACCUCUCAUUGUUCAGCCGAGCGCCUGAGGCACUGUGGUCUUGAGUCUCUUAACAGCACCUAGUGAUUUUAACAGCACUGUUUGUGACACAGUCGAAUGAAAGGCGGGGCAGGGUCACUGGACACACAUGAAUUUACCUAAGACAUGUCACUCUUAUCUUUCCUUAAGCACUCUCAUUUUUCCUUUAAGUAUUUGCAAGAUCCUGAUCAUUUUUCAACCAUAUGACAGGUCGUUACAAGGAAUCGACUUUACUGGAGUGGACCACGUUAUUCUCUUCGAUGUCCCAUGCGAUCCAAGCA